rnacentral:rRNA from 1 species
CAGCCGCCGCGGUAACACCGAGGGUGCGAGCGUUAAUCGGAUUUACUGGGCGUAAAGCGUGCGUAGGCGGCUUCUUAAGUCGGAUGUGAAAUCCCUGAGCUUAACUUAGGAAUUGCAUUCGAUACUGGGAAGCUAGAGUAUGGGAGAGGAUGGUAGAAUUCCAGGUGUAGCGGUGAAAUGCGUAGAGAUCUGGAGGAAUACCGAUGGCGAAGGCAGCCAUCUGGCCUAAUACUGACGCUGAGGUACGAAAGCAUGGGGAGCAAACAGGAUUAGAUACCCGUGUAGUCCCUGUCUCUUAUAC